UUUGGUUGAUUUUACCAUGCGGGGCAGAAAAAAUAUGGUAAACCUUAGUGAAAAAAGAGGUUUAAUUUUACCAUGCGCAAAAUUUGUUGAUAUAUAUGAAGUUUCGGUUAUUUUGACGAUCUUUUGGUUAAUGCUACCAUGCGGGUCAAAAGAAAAUAUGGUAAACCUACAUAAAAAGAGGCUUAAUUUUACCACGCGGAACGUUUUGUGCAUUCGAAUAUAAAAUUUUGGUUAUCGUGACAAUACUGUGGUACAUUUUACCAUGGUUGUCAAUAGCCAAAGUACUUUCAAUUAGUUGUGUCAUCUUGCACUUUGUUGCCUCCUUGCCAUUGAAAUGGCUUUGGAUUUCAAUUUACUGUUGAAACAUUGGAAAUAAUAUUGAUUUAGUGCUAUGUGCCGCGAUCUUAAAGAAGGCCAUUAAAAUCUGGAGUGCAAGCAGAGUCAUCAACGGCCGCAAAUUUCAACAGUUUAUAAAAUGUUCAAGAAUGAUGAUUCGAGAAGACCAAAAUAAAAUCUUAGGACAACCGCGGAACACCGGAAACAAAAUGUCGAAGGAACCUUCUUCACGUUCGGUUUUGGCAUAUAGUUCCUGAUUCAGUGUGAAUAACAAAAAAUUUUAUGUGA